UUCCCGAAUUUAGGAGAGCUAUUUUUUUUAUUGUCAUAAAUAUUAAAAAUAUGUAAUGAAACGUUAAUAUUUCUGGUUUUUCAAGAAAAUUAAAUUUGCUUAUGUCCUAAGGGAUUAGCUUUGGGUAGGAUUAGAAUUGUUGUUAAAGUUUUCCUAUUGAAAUUUUUUAAUUAAUAUUAAAAGUAAUUAUGAUUAAAUUAGUAUAAGGUUUAAUAAAGGAAUUCGGCAAAUAUUUUCUACCUGUUUAUUAAAAACAUGUCCUAUUGAUAAUAAUCUUAGGUCUAACCUGCCCGCUGAAGCCGCGGUAUUUUGACCGUGCAAAGGUAGCAUAAUAAUUAGUUUUUUAAUUGAAAGCUGGAAUGAAUGGUUGAAUAAGAAAAUGACUGUCUCUGUUAAAUAGAAUUUUAUCUUUAAGUAAAAAAGCUUAAAUUUGGCUAAAAGACGAGAAGACCCUAUAGAGUUUUAUUUUGGUUGGGGUGACUGAAAAAUUAAAAUAACUUUUGAUUAUAAGAGUAAAUUACCUUAGGGAUAACAGCGUAAUUCUUUUUAGAGUUCAAAUCGAAAAUUGAGUUUGCGACCUCGAUGUUGGAUUAAAAUUUAUUUUGGUGCAGAAGCU
rnacentral:rRNA from 1 species